GAUUGAACGCUGGCGGCAUGCCUUACACAUGCAAGUCGAACGGCAGCGCGGGAGCAAUCCUGGCGGCGAGUGGCGAACGGGUGAGUAAUACAUCGGAACGUGCCCAAUCGUGGGGGAUAACGCAGCGAAAGCUGUGCUAAUACCGCAUAAGAUCUACGGAUGAAAGCAGGGGAUCGCAAGACCUUGCGCGAAUGGAGCGGCCGAUGGCAGAUUAGGUAGUUGGUGAGGUAAAGGCUCACCAAGCCUUCGAUCUGUAGCUGGUCUGAGAGGACGACCAGCCACACUGGGACUGAGACACGGCCCAGACUCCUACGGGAGGCAGCAGUGGGGAAUUUUGGACAAUGGGCGCAAGCCUGAUCCAGCCAUGCCGCGUGCAGGAUGAAGGCCUUCGGGUUGUAAACUGCUUUUGUACGGAACGAAACGGUCUCUUCUAAUAAAGGGGGCUAAUGACGGUACCGUAAGAAUAAGCACCGGCUAACUACGUGCCAGCAGCCGCGGUAAUACGUAGGGUGCGAGCGUUAAUCGGAAUUACUGGGCGUAAAGCGUGCGCAGGCGGUUAUGUAAGACAGUUGUGAAAUCCCCGGGCUCAACCUGGGAACUGCAUCUGUGACUGCAUAGCUAGAGUACGGUAGAGGGGGAUGGAAUUCCGCGUGUAGCAGUGAAAUGCGUAGAUAUGCGGAGGAACAUCGAUGGCGAA
rnacentral:rRNA from 1 species